rnacentral:lncRNA from 1 species
GCCCGCCGUCAUACAUUUAUUGUUAAACUAUUGCGGUGAUUCAGCCAAACAAAUUUGAUUUUUUUCUUUAUUCUUUCUUGUCCGAUACUUAUCAACUGCUAUUAAGUCUUACAGGGUGUUGUAAUUUAUAGGUUGACAUUGGUCUGACCAACAUACAAGUCCUUGUCGUUGGAUGUGCUUGGAAUAAAUCGUUUGCACAUUUUUUG